GGGGGUAAGGCUAGCGGAGCUACACAUGCAGUCGAGGGGUAACGGCAGUAGCUUGCUACUAGACGACGACCGGCGCACGGGUGAGUAACGCGUAUGUAAUCUGCCUUGUACAGAGGGAUAGCCCAGAGAAAUUUGGAUUAAUACCUCAUAGUAUUACCGAAUCGCAUGAUUCGGUAAUUAAAGCUCCGGCGGUACAAGAUGAACAUGCGUGACAUUAGCUAGUUGGUAAGGUAACGGCUUACCAAGGCUACGAUGUCUAGGGGUUCUGAGAGGAUGAUCCCCCACACUGGUACUGAGACACGGACCAGACUCCUACGGGAGGCAGCAGUGAGGAAUAUUGGUCAAUGGACGCAAGUCUGAACCAGCCAUCCCGCGUGAAGGAUGACUGCCCUAUGGGUUGUAAACUUCUUUUAUAUGCAAAUAAACCUACUUUCGUGAAAGUAGCUGAAGGUAGCAUAUGAAUAAACACCGGCUAACUCCGUGCCAGCAGCCGCGGUAAUACGGAGGGUGUAAGCGUUAUCCGGAUUUAUUGGGUUUAAAGGGUACGUAGGCGGUAAUAUAAGUCAGUGGUGAAAUCCUGCAGCUCAACUGUAGAACUGCCAUUGAAACUGUAUUACUUGAGUAUACUUGAGGUAGGCGGAAUGAGUAGUGUAGCGGUGAAAUGCUUAGAUAUUACUCAGAACACCGAUUGCGAAGGCAGCUUACUAAGGUAUAACUGACGCUGAUGUACGAAAGCGUGGGGAGCGAACAGGAUUAGAUACCCUGGUAGUCCACGCCGUAAACGAUGAUUACUCGCUGUUGGCGAUACACAGUUAGUGGCUAAGCGAAAGUUUUAAGUAAUCCACCUGGGGAGUACGCUCGCAAGAGUGAAACUCAAAGGAAUUGACGGAAG
rnacentral:rRNA from 1 species